rnacentral:rRNA from 1 species
GACGAACGCUGGCGGCAUGCCUAAUACAUGCAAGUCGAGCGAACAGAUGAAGUGCUUGCACUUCUGACGUUAGCGGCGAACGGGUGAGUAACACGUAAGGAAUCUACCUAUAAGCGGGGGAUAACAUUCGGAAACGGGUGCUAAUACCGCAUAAUAUCUUCUUCCGCAUGGAAGAAGAUUGAAAGACGGCUCUGCUGUCACUUAUAGAUGACCUUGCGGUGCAUUAGUUAGUUGGUGGGGUAACGGCCUACCAAGACGAUGAUGCAUAGCCGACCUGGGAGGGUGAUCGGCCACAUUGGGACUGGGACACGGCCCAAGCUCCUACGGGAGGCAGCAGUAGGGAAUCUUCCGCAAUGGGCGAAAGCCUGACGGAGCAAUGCCGCGUGAGUGAAGAAGGCCUUCGGGUCGUAAAACUCUGUUAUAAGAGAAGAACAAAUUGUAGAGUAACUGCUACAGUCUUGACGGUAUCUUAUCAGAAAGCCACGGCUAACUACGUGCCAGCCGCCGCCGUAA